ensembl:lncRNA
GAAAGAUUAUCCUGGAAGGUCCAGUCCUUAAAAGGCAGGCCGAGGAGAUUUGACUACAGAAGUAGGAGGUAUGAUGACAGAAGUAAGAGAUUAGAGUGUUGGGGAUGCAAGCCCAGGAAUGAUAAGUAAUACUAAGGAAUCCUGGCAGCCUCUAGAAGCUAGAAGAAGCAAAGAAUAGAUUCUCUCCUGGAGCCUCCAGAAGGAACCAACUGCGCAGAUAAAGAAACUGAGGUCCUUGCGUAGGAGCAAUGGGCAGCGCUUGCUUGGCUGUUCCUUCAAGGACUCUGUCAUCUCUUAUGUUAAUAACUCAACAUUCAAUGCCUAAGUCACAAGAUAGGACCCUCCAUACUGUUCUACAUGGAGUUUUCCAGGGAACUGCCAGACAGAGCAAAUAAUGACAGCGCUCUGGAAACAGGGUUUUGGAGGAUCUUCAGCCCCUUUCUGCCACCUCUGGGGGCUGCCAGGCUGCUGGUGUUCAAGUGACUGUGGAACAGCUGGUCUUCAAGGCUGCCAUGAAACCAAGGAAGGGGGAAUGGAAACAGAGCAAGUUAAAAUGCCACAAAGCUUAUUGUUUUUUACUGAUGAUAGUCAGCUCUUUUUCUUGAAUAAACUAUCUUUAGCCUGUUGCAAGCCUUUGGUUAAUUUCUAGAGCUGUAAAAAAGUUGAUUUUGACAAUGUUUUUGGCCACUGUUGGUGGUAGUAGUGUGGGUUAAUAGAUGUUUCAGGUGAACAAAUGCUAACAGAAUCUGAAAUAGUAUGGUUGUCUCCAGAUGGAAUGGACUGCCUUAGAAGAUAAUGAAUUCCCUGAUUUUCAAACAGAAGCUCAACAACACACGGCCAGGGGUAUUAUGGAGGGAUUCUAACAUCAGAAGAAUGGCUGGACUAGAUCAUGAUGUAUUUUAUUAUUAAAAUAUUGGAUUAUUUUAUUAUUAUUAAAUAUCUUAAAUAUCCACAAAGUAGAUAGUCCUGUUAUCUAGACCUUACUACGUUAGCUUCACCCAUGCCUUUUUCCUUUUCCUUUUUUGUUUUUCU